CCUGAGCCGAAGGCAGAUGCUUAGCCAACUGAGCCACCCAGGUCUAUUCAAAUAUUCUGUUUCGUGUUGUGUCAAAGCAUGAGGAUGCUUUUGGCAAGAAUCGACCAAAAAUGUAACAGUGGCCUAAGUAACAAGCCCUCUCAUCCUCCUGCCUCACACAGUCAGAGUGAAGAGGUUUUUCAAGGCUGGAGUAGAUACUCAAGGACACAGGCUCCUUCAACGUCCUCACUCCCUUAUCUUCCGCUGCUGGCUUGUCGCUUCGUGUUCUCAAGUUGACUACAGCACAUCUAGGCACCGUGUAGAUCCAAACAGGGACAAGCUGGGAAACUGUCUUUUCAUUUGGGAUAGCAGUCAGCAUUGGGACGGAUCUUUUCUGAAAUAAAGGAAUUUUUACCUGCUA